rnacentral:rRNA from 1 species
GACGAACGCUGGCGGCGUGCCUAAUACAUGCAAGUAGAACGCUGAAGGAGGAGCUUGCUCUUCUGGAUGAGUUGCGAACGGGUGAGUAACGCGUAGGUAACCUGCCUGGUAGCGGGGGAUAACUAUUGGAAACGAUAGCUAAUACCGCAUAAGAGUAGAUGUUGCAUGACAUUUACUUAAAAGGUGCAAUUGCAUCACUACCAGAUGGACCUGCGUUGUAUUAGCUAGUUGGUGGGGUAACGGCUUACCAAGGCGACGAUACAUAGCCGACCUGAGAGGGGGAUCGGCCACACUGGGACUGAGACACGGCCCAGACUCCUACGGGAGGCAGCAGUAGGGAAUCUUCGGCAAUGGACGGAAGGCUGACCGAGCAACGCCGCGGGAGUGCAGAAUGUUUUCGGAUCGUAAAGCUCUGUUGUAAGAGAAGAACGAGUGUGAGAGUGGAAAGUUCACACUGUGACGGUAUCUUACCAGAAAGGGACGGCUAACUACGUG